GAAGAUGUGAAGUUGGAUGCAGUUGAAGGACAGUUUGACUUUCUACAAUUCAAUGAAAAAGCCCUAGUCAUGCUGCAGUUUGGAGGAGCAUCUCCACAACCAGCAGCGUCGGCAGCCGUACCUCCUCGCUGUUGGGGCGUCAGAAGAGCAAGAUUGACAGCUUGGAUGAGCAUCUCAUCCCACGCCAGGCAAACCGCUCCCUACCGUCGGGCGAACUUUCCAAAACCCAUUUUGUGUUUAAUUUGUCGUACGAUGCUGCGUACUGAAUUUGCACAUUCUUGCAGACAGUGUAUAACAUUGAUGUGGGGAAAAUGAAGGAGUAUAUCAUACCAAAUAAAUGUGCGUCUAUUGUGGCCAAAUUACAGCGGAGCAGUAUGAUGUUCUCGAUUGUAGUCGAUUUGGAGGAACAAACGAGUGAGAGUCGCUCACAAGCUGCUCUACCUAUAGCUGACCCAAACAUCUGUGAUGAAGCUUAAUACAGAAUGGAAACUAGAUAUAUACUUUCAUAUUAAAUGGAGAGUUGUCGAGCCAAUAGAAAUAACACUUGGAGUUAGAUAUGUUUGCAGGUGAAAUCUGGUACCUAUGAAGGAUACUUUUAUAUAUUUGCCAUGUUUAGAAAUGAGUAGAUCAGACACUCAGACUUUUGAUAGAAGUUAUUUUAAAACCCACGUCCGGUUUACAGCAAGAAAAUAUGCAUUACAUGAUUUAGAAACUGCUAAUCCACAAAUGUAUUUAAUUUAAUGAUCACUUUCACGCACAAGUACGGUUUUAUACUGGAACCGUUGAUAAAUUGUAUAAAAUUACUGGAAACAAGGCCUUAGUCUUCCUCUUUCUGGUGUGCAGGUAUACGGUACAAUAUCACAGGGAUGCACACUUCUUGGUUUAAAUGAGUCUUUUGUCGUGUUUGAGGGUUUUUAAAUUGCAUUUAAAUGUCAUUUUAUAAUGUUUCUUGAUGCUUUUGUAUAGCGCCUUAAUGUGAUUUAUAACAUGAACUGACAUUUAUCUGUGGCUAGAAUAAGACGUCAGUGAGUUUGUACUGAAGUCUCCUCUCGUCGUUACAAAGUCUCAGAAAUCAGUGUUAUUAGAUCAUUUAUUUGGCAUUUUAAAGAUGGUUGAACUGCAUUCAUCAAAAAUAUUUGCAUAAAACUCCAGUUCUACUUUCAUAAACAAAACAUGUAACUUCAGGCAAAAGUAAAAAAAUCACUUGGCUG